GGCCCCUUAGCUCAGCUGGAUAGAGCACCUGCCUUCUAAGCAGGUUGUCGCAGGUUCGAGCCCUGCAGGGGUCGCCA
rnacentral:tRNA from 21 species